UUCCGCCUUUGAGGUUGAUAUUAGAAUCUGAUACCAGAUGUUCAACCAAAGCCAUGUUGCCUCCCUCACAGGCAAGGUGAAGUACACUAUCACCAGAUGUAUCAAGCAUAGAGAGGUCUGCCCCUUUGAUUCUAGGAAGUCAAACACACUUUUGUGUCCAUCGAGAGCUGCAGCCAUGAUUGGUGUCAUUCCAUUAUCGCCUUUGAGGUUGAUAUUAGAAUCUGA